rnacentral:tRNA from 1 species
AAGAGUAAUAAUAAUUAGAAGCCGCUAACUAUCUAAAUAGUGUUUAAUCACUUUACUCUUA